GGGGGUAUAGCUCAGUUGGUAGAGCGGCUGCUUUGCAAGCAGUAGGUCAUCGGUUCGAACCCGGUUACCUCCACCA
rnacentral:tRNA from 1 species